CUUGCCUCAGAGGAUUGAUCCAGAGAGCUUCUUGCUAGCACUGCAGAUGGCAGCUGAGGCAGCUAGCCCAUACUUCAGGCUUGGUUACAAUAGUUUGGGUGCCUUUGCUACCAUCAAUCACCUCCACUUCCAGGUAUUGAACUAUGCAUGGUAUCUGAAUUUACUUAUCACCACAAAAUGGGAACCAAAUAGGAGUAUCCAGUACUGUGCAGAUAGAAGUAUUGUUUUAAUGUCAUGUCCACUUGUACUCUUCUGAUAAAAUCAUCAAACACCCGCAGUUUUGAGAUGGUGGUUGUCACUGUCAUAGUGAAAGUGAACUUUGUGCCUUUGGAGAGCAAGAAAACUGCCAUAUGCAUUUUGAUCUGAAUAAUUUGCACAGAAACUGGCCUAUCGAGCAGUUGGUAACUUGUUUGAAAAAAAUUUGUUUAGUACUGAACCUUUUGUUCACAGGCAUACUACUUGUCAGUGCCUUUCCCUGUCGAGAAGGCAGCUACCCACAAGAUCCCUCUUUCCGAGGACACAAUGAAGAGUGGGGUGACUGUGUCCAAGCUGAUAAAUUAUCCUGUGAGAGGCCUGGUAUUUGAGGGAGGGAACACA
rnacentral:lncRNA from 1 species